CCGUCCCAUUCUGCAAAGAUUCUGGCGGAUGUCAGGAGUAGAAUUUUCUAUGAGAAGAAAACUGAAGCCAUGGGCAGAUGGUUUGGGUGGGUGAUCAUGGGACAAUGGGGGGCUCUUUGGAUCAUUGAGUUGGAAAUCUAAGUGCCAUCUUUUUCAGAAGAAAUAAGAUGGAGAGAUACAUGAGGGAUGGGAGGAAAUCUUCCAGUGUGUAGACAGCGUGGACUCCACCUUCCACACCAGCCCCCCGCAGAGCAAGUCGCAUUUCAUGUCUUAGGUCAGGAAUGCAGCCUCGCGUGCUGACGGUGCCGCUAUGGUCGGGCUCAGAGGACACGGAUUUCGCUGAGAGACUCCUCCAGGUGGAAGACCAUCACAGGUGCUAGAACCCAGUUGUCUCCUUGUUACGAAUCUUGUUCCGGAAGCUCACGGGGCGUUAGAAGCAGCAAGUUCAAAGGAGAGGGUCGGCUGCGUGAAGACAGUGCCAACAGCUGGCGGCUGGGAUGAAGCCCAGGCGGCCGUCUUGGCAAAGGGCCCGGGGCUGGGAGGCGUGCGGCUUUGGUGAGACAGACAGGCCUGUGGUCAAUCAGGCUGGGUGACGGCUCCAGUGAGAGAUGCGGCGUGGCAGUUUCGUCCCUAAAUCGGCUGCCGAGAAGACUCCAGCCUGCCCGGUUACAGAGCAAAUGGAAAUCUCAGACUUGUAAAUCGAGAGUGACGGACCGAGGACACGUGGCACCAGGAGCGCAGGUAUCGAGAGAGCCCGGUAACAGGGCUGGGGCUGCGCCGGUGGUGGGGGCUGCAGCUUGUUCCAGGGACUCC
rnacentral:lncRNA from 1 species